AUUGAACCAAAAUAAACAGUGAAUUAGGAAGAGAAGUCUGUGGAUUAGUAAGGGGUAGCAUAAUAUCAUCUGCAAACACUCCCAACUUGCAGAACCGUGUUAGAGACAAUGUGUAACCUUUAUUAUCCAGAUUCUCAUGCACAGUUAUUGCCAAUGGUUCCAAAGACAAAUCAUAGAUUAAAGUCGGCUCCCUUGACGGGAUUCAUUGGCAAUCUCGAAUCUGUUAG